UACAGAGGUCUCAAGCGUUUGUUCGGAUUCAUUGGGCGUAAAGGGUGCGUAGGCGGCGUGGUAAGUCGGGUGUGAAAUCUCGGAGCUUAACUCCGAAACUGCAUUCGAUACUGCCGUGCUUGAGGACUGGAGAGGAGACUGGAAUUUACGGUGUAGCGGUGAAAUGCGUAGAUAUCGUAAGGAAGACCAGUGGCGAAGGCGGGUCUCUGGACAGUUCCUGACGCUGAGGCACGAAGGCCAGGGGGAGCAAAACGGG
rnacentral:rRNA from 1 species